rnacentral:rRNA from 1 species
GAUGAACGCUGGCGGCGUGCUUAACACAUGCAAGUCGAACGGUGAAACCGGAGCUUGCUCUGUGGGAUCAGUGGCGAACGGGUGAGUAACACGUGAGCAACCUGCCCCUGUCUCUGGGAUAAGCGCUGGAAACGGCGUCUAAUACUGGAUAUGUGAUGUGACCGCAUGGUCUGCGUUUGGAAAGAUUUUUCGGUUGGGGAUGGGCUCGCGGCCUAUCAGCUAGUUGGUGAGGUAAUGGCUCACCAAGGCGUCGACGGGUCGCCGGCCUGAGAGGGUGGCCGGCCACACUGGGAUUGAGACACGGCCCAGACUCCUACGGGAGGCAGCAGUGGGGAAUAUUGCACAAUGGGCGAAAGCCUGAUACAGCAACGCCGCGAGAGGGAUAACGGCCUUCGGGUUGUAAACCUUUGUGAACAGGGAAGAAGCGAAAGUGACGGUACCUGCAGAAAAAGCGCCGGCUAACUACGUG